UACGAAGGGGGGCUAGCGUUGCUCGGAAUCACUGGGCGUAAAGCGCACGUAGGCGGAUCCUUAAGUCAGGGGUGAAAUCCCGGGGCUCAACCUCGGAACUGCCUCUGAUACAGCAAGUCUCGAGUCCGGAAGAGGUGGGUGGAAUUCCUAGUGUAGAGGUGAAAUUCGUAGAUAUUAGGAAGAACACCGGUGGCGAAGGCGGCCCACUGGUCCGGUACUGACGCUGAGGUGCGAAAGCGUGGGGAGC
rnacentral:rRNA from 1 species